rnacentral:rRNA from 1 species
CGAUGCCGUUCCCAUCCCGAACACGGUAGUUAAGCUUCUCUGCGCCAAUGGUAGUUGGGGGCUUCCCCCUGCGAGAGUAGGUCGCUGCCGGGC